rnacentral:tRNA from 1 species
GCUUGGGUGGCUCAGUUGGUUAAGCAUCCGACUUCAGCUCAGGUCAUGAUCUCAUGGUUUGUGGGUUCAAGGCCCGCUUCAGGCU